GGGAGCGUCCCCAGGAACAUCCAGGGGAUCGCCACCGGGGCCCCAGUGGUCCCACAGGCCUCCUGAGGCUGGCUGUGCUGUGCUGAAGCCCACAUCAAGGGCCCUGGGGAUGGCAGCAGAGGCCAGCAUGGUUGAGGGUCCCCCGCACCCACCUCAUCUCUGCAGGGACCACAGAACUGCACGCACCGUGGGUGUUCUUCACCUGCUCACAAAAGAGCCGGGUCAUUGCAUGCAGCAGGAAAGGCUUGACGGGGGGUGACGGGAGGAAGGGCAGGAGCAGAGAUUUUCCAUCUUGAUGGUUUUGUUCAAGGCUAGCCCAGAAGCAGCUGACGUUGGCUUCAUUUAUCCAAAGGGCACGGCGAGUGACCCUCUACAACCCAGGGAUCCUGAAAUAUUUAGAAGCUCUAAUGUUUGGGUGGGAAGAGAACCUCUUUUGGAUGAGAAGCUCAAUUAUUGAGGAAAGGAGAGCUCCCGUUGUCUGGGGCGUAGGGGGGGCACCUUCCUGCUGCGUUGGCAGGGUGCCGGGCGCGGGGCACCCUGCCUGGGACACUUGCCCUGCUCUGUGGGUGAGGCCUCUCCCACAGUGCUGGGCUCUGGGGGACUUUUCUCGUGGCCAAACUCUUCGGGAAAGUGACACAACGGCCUAUUUCUUCCAACAGCACCUCUGAUUCAGCCUAGGGUAUGGUUCGAGGUUGCAUCUCUUGUAAACCCCCCUUCAGCUGCUGUCAAGGGCUGGCACCGGAGUUCUUGAAUUUAGGCUGAUGUGGGUCCUGCUAGAGCCUGCUGUCCUCUGCACAUGUCAACAAAUGUGUAUGCAGGUGUGGACCAGCUGGAUCUCUCUCCUUCUCUGGGAAGCGUGGUUUUCAGCAGCGUCAGGCUGGGAAGACAGACAUUUCAUGAACCCUGAAGUCCUGUGCAGGCAGUUGUCACACAGUGUUCCACCAGCGGCCCACGGCCGGCACAGAACACUGCAAAGCUCCAUCUAGCACAAGUGACCACGGGGAACGGGUUGAGAAUCCUGCUGCAUUGUACACGUCUCCUAAGGGAAGAACAUCAAGAAAGAUGAGCUCGCCGCGGAAUUGGCGAACUGUGUGGAAGGGGCGGGAUCUGUAGAGCUCAGCAGCGGCGAGCUCCUGUCAUGGCUUGGCCAGUUCGGGUCUCCCCCUGUCACUUAUGAGGGUGCGGCGAUGUUUUCCCAGAUGUGGUCCCCGUGUACAAAACAAAGAAUCGCUUUGCACAAAGCCAGAAGGGAUACAUUGAAAGAAUUAUCAGAAGAGAAUAAUACAUAGGAAAUGUUUGUGCUUGCAUGCAAGGAAACUUUGGGGGGUAUCUGUGGCUGCCAAAGUGACAUCUGGCAGGAUUAACUGGAUCACCAGAGCCAAACAAUGAGGACUGGGAAGGCAGCAAUAACUGUGAGGCCUGGGCCCAUGUGGGGGCAAGAUUUUGAGAAUGACCACUUAGGUGACAAAAUGGGAUUCCCACGAACCGCAGCUCUGGUUAGUUUCUGGUCUGGAGCCAGAUCCUCUCUCUGAUGCAGACGUGGGAGGACGGAGCGGCAAGAGCUGCCCAGCUGCUCAUCUGGGAACUCAUCCUCCAAGGGACUCUGUCCCUCGUUCUCCUCCCGUACCUGGAGGCGGCAGUCAGCGGGCAGCACCUCUCACAGCACCCCCACGUACACCUGCUCAGACCACCUGCUCAGAGCUACUCUUUUGCCCAGCCCAGCAUACCUGUUCCACCUGUCUGAAGACCCGCCGCACGUUUCCUCGAAGCACACCCCAGAGCUCUUCGUCACUCCAGCCACGCCUCAGCAACUCCUGUAUCAGUACCGGGUAUAUGGACACGUCCUCCAGCCCCUGUGGGAACCUGUGUGGCCGCCAGCCAGCCAGCUAUUGGGCCUCAGACCUGUUCCCUGGUCCUGAGUCAGAACCAGAGCCCUAUGUGUCCAGGGUCCACUGAACCCCAGCCCUGGUCAGAUAGGGAAAAUGGAGACUUGGAGAGAGUAAAUGAUUCACUCCUGCUCUUCAUCCUUCAAAGGAAGGCCCCAAGAGCGCCUCGACUAUUCGUCAAAACUCAUUGAAUUGUACUGUUAAGAUCUAUGCCUUUCACUGAAUGCAAUUUUUGCCUCCAUUUAUAAAGAGAAGAAAAGCUUUUUAAGAACUGGGUUGACCCCCCUGCGUGCACAGACCCAGCUGCAGGCAGAGACGAUGGUCAGCCCAGCCCAGACCUUGCGAAGAGUCUGCUCAGAGGCCGUGGGUCUGCUGGCACUGGAUGGGCGCAGAUGCUGGGCAGAUGAGCUCUGUGUGGUGUUUUAGACAAAUAUGAUGACCUAGAGUAGGGCCAAGCAGACAGGAGAGCCCAGGAAGCAGACCCUGGGAGAGGGGAGAUACCAGUUGGGCCAGCACACCUGAGGCUAUGGUCAAGGCCAUGAGGACCACAGUGUGGUGGGCACGGUGGCUGUGAAAGCCCCACUGCUGCCCAGCCAGCCCGAGACAAGCCAUGGGGAAGCACUCACCGGCCAGCCCCGUCAUAAUCUCCGCCAAUCCCGAUGAACUUGCAUCCAGUGACUGCCCUGAUGUGGUCGAAGUGAUCUGAAGAAUGGGAAGUCAGCAGUGUGGGGCUUCCAGGGCAGGGGUGGGGGUGAUGACUGGCCUCUGUUGAUUCCCCUUUUUGCAGCCUGUAGGCCAAACAGUCCAGUUCCUUCGUGGCCUGGCACCGAGAGUACCAACUCGAGGGCCCUGAGGUUUGAUCUGAAGUGAUCCCAGCUGGCUCUAGACUGGACUUCAGAUUUGGAGUGGACCCCAGAGCCCCCUGUUUGGGCCAUUUCCCACCCACGAUUCACCCUGCCUCCCAGUCUCCUUGAGAACCUGUGGGGGCUCCUUUCCCCGGGUGUGGAGGAUGAGAGAGGAACAAGAGUACAACUGAUGAAGACCCCAGAGACCUAAGGAGCUGUCCAGUCCCUUGGCCAGAGGCUGUGGUCUCCUCGGAAGCUUUGGUGGGAUGCAGGCAGCAUCUGGGAGAAGGCGCCUCGGAACUCACGUGCCCGCGUUGCCCAGGACCCCAAUUCCUUCCACCUCUCGGAUGCUGCUUUCUUUUCCCAGGGACAGAGCCAAGCUGUAAUUGACUCCUUGGGUAUUUCAAAGUCCCUGAUCCCAAGACUGAAGGAUGACUGCCUGCUGUUGUGAAAGGUGCGCUGAAUCGACAGUCCUGAGUUUUGAAGUUUUCCUGGAGGGGACGUGAGGGGAUUUCUCCAGGAUCGAUGGAACUCCUUUUGUGGUGCUUCAGUGCUUCCACCAUGAAGCGCUCAUUUCCCUAUGCACGUCCCCCCGCCCCACCCCACUGUUUCCUUUACUCUCUCUCCUCCCACCCCCAAUUCCCAGAAGAAGAUCUAGGAAUCAGGUCCAAACAUAAGAUCUUUGGAGAAUCCUUGCGUGUGUUUUUUUAAAUUUUUAUUGGAGUAUAGUUGAUUUACAAUGUUGUGUUAGUUCCGGGUGUACAGCAAAGUGAAGCAGUUAUACAUAUACAUAUAAUCCACUCUUUUUUAGACUCUUUUCCCAUACAGGUCAUUACAGAGUACUGAGUAGAGUUCCCUGUGCUAUACAGUAGGUCCUGAUUAGUCAUCUAGUUUAUAGGUAGUGUUGUGUAUAUGUCAAUCCCAAUCUCCCAAUUUAUCCUUCUCCCCUCCCCACUUUCCCCCCCUGGUAACCAUAAGUUUGUUUUCUACACCUGUGACUCUAUUUCGAAUCCUUGUGUUUUACUCUCGUCCUGAAACUAGAUAAAGCCUAGUCAUCAAUCAACAGGUGAGGAAGUAGAGCCAGGCAUUGGUUGAGUGUUGAUGUUUCUGGUACAAGCUGACUCUCCGCUCAUCAUCCCACACCUUCAUCAGCCAUCAUCAUGCUGUCUGUCACCUCCUCUUCUCUGAAGAAGGCCCGGGCCAUCUUUUGAAAAUACAAAGUCCAGCAUUGAGACCCUCCCAACUGAGAGAGCAGGAAGGGCCAGGGCUGCUGAGGUGCUCCCUGAACCCCACUCAGGGGAUCUGUGUUGUUCCCACCUGGGUGUAUUGUGUGGACCCCCUAAAAUUCCUCCAAACCUCUGCCUCUGCGCUUCCAGAUUGCCCCUGAUAGAAAUGAACAAUAAUCAUAAUACCCACCACGUACUGACCGCUGGUCUCUUGAGGGCUGCCUUGCCAUUGGACAACAUUUGUUGAGCUCCUACUGUUUGCCAGACAGCGGGUACAUGCUUUAUGUGUGUUUAGCCCUUCUGACAACACUGUGAUUUAGGACCUGUUAAUAUGUCUAUUUUGCUGAAAUGGAAACUGAGGUUCAGAGUGGUUAAAUAACAAGGAAAAGUCCAUGUUUUUACCCCCUACACUAAUAUAUAUGUAUAUUUGUGUAUAUAUAUUCUAUAUAUGUAUAUUUAACAUGUAUAUGAUGUUGACUGAAAAAAAUGCACAACCUCAAAGUUGAGAAAUAUGUUUUAUUGGGUGGGCAAAACUGAGGACUUAAGCCUGGGACACAGCCUCUCAGCUCUCUCUGAGGGACUGAUCCAAAAAGGAGAGGGAGGAGCCAUCAACUAUAGGAGUUUUUGCAACAAAGACCAGGUAAUCGGAACAUGGAAAGAUUCCUGUUAAUUAAAGAAAACCAGACAUCUCGAGUUAAUGACUUUUUAGUGUUUUUCUGUGUAUGGGAAGAUGCAAAAGUCUGGGCUCACUGAAAUCCUUCCUUUGAUAUGCACCUCAGCUAUGUGGGCCAGUAUCCUGUGCUUUCUCAUCCUGUGUUCCCUCGGGGUGCACCAUCAGGGGAGGCUGUGGCAGUUGACUGCUAGAUGGUGGGCAUCCUGUUUCCAUCCUGAGUUUCCUCAGGGUUCACUCUUGGGGCGGCUAUAAUGUGAUGGCUUGAUGGCUGCAACAUCCUUUGUUUACUGAUAUGGCAGGCAACAUUUUUUCAUUGACAAUUAUAUAUAUACAAUAGACACUGUUCGUGUUACAUAUAUUAUCUAUUUUACGUGCUACGUGUUUUUUAGACUCUUUGCAAAAAACCUUGCAAGGUAGGUGUUAUUCUUUACAUUUUGUGAAAAAGAAAUUAAAGCCUCUAACAGGCUGAGAAAUUUGUCAGGUCACUACAUCACGAUUAACAAGUCAGUGAACAAGAUUUUGAAUCCAAGUAAUCCUUUUGUGAAAACAAAACCCCCCCAAAAACAAAGAAACUAUGUUCUUUCCAUGCUCCAAAAUAUAUUUUGGUCAAGUGACUUAAGAAACUCUCCCUUAAGCUUGUCUAAAGCAGAAAAUAAGACAACAGUGCUUGACUGGAAAUUAUCAAAAGGCAGGAUCAAGCAGGAAUAAUGAAAGGGAGCCUGAGGUUUCGGGGGAUGAACCCACUGGCUAAAUAGGCCCCUGGAAACAGAAACCCACUUUUUUUUUUUUUUAAUUCAUUUGUAUAUUUGUUUAUUGACUGUUUUCCUCCAAUAGAAUGUAAUCUUUUUUUUUUUUUUAACAUCUUUAUUGGAGUAUAAUUGCUUUACAAUGGUGUUAGUUUCUGCUUUAUAACAAAGUGAAUCAGCUCUACAUAUACAUAUAUCCCCAUAUCUCCUCCCUCUUGCUAGCUCAUGAUUUAGGACCCACGCACAGGAGAAUUCAGGCUGCAUUAAUAGAAAAAUAUGACUUGCAGCCCUGGAGAUGUGGCUUCAGAGGAAAUGAUGACUUAAUGCUUGUGAUCUGUAAGAAUGUUGGUGUUUUGGGUCAAGUAACCUAUGCAUUUUCUCAAGGGAGGUAGGUUUGGGGAAAAAAGGCAAUAAUUAAACUGAACAUACCAACAAGGAAAAAAUAAUUUAACUGUUACGAUGACUCAUUUAGUUGGCAGCUUCAGGUAAUGAGGUGCUCUGGAUUAAUUUUCCUGAGAGCAGAAACAUAUCCCUUUAAAUGAUGAAGCAUGUUAUCUUCAUCAAUCUUUGAAGAAAAUAUUUCCAAGGUACAUUUUAUAUUCUCUUUUGUCAGUAGUAUUCUUGACAAUUUUUAGGACUAGAGACAUAGUUUUGUUUUUGUUUUUAAAGAGUUUAAAGAACGAUUUGAUCUUUGAAAAUCAUGUUACAUCGUUGGUCCCCAGUGUUUUCAUCUACAGUAUGUGAACUUUGGGUUAGAUGAUCAUCAAGGUUCCUUCCAUCUCUAAUAUUCUCUAAGUAAAGGGCUCUUGUGCACAAUAAAAUUUAAAACAUAAGAAUCAUCGAGGGGGCUUGUUAAAAAUGCAGAUUCUUAGGUAUCAUUGUUGGAGGUUCUGAUUCAGUUGGUUUGAGUGAGGCAAGAGAACCUGUAUCAUAAAUGGGUGCAUACCCAUGGCCAUUUUGAUGACCUCAUUUUGAGAAACUGAUUCUCUUUCCAGCCUCAGAUAACAGAUGUCAUAACCAUUUUUGGCCACCAGGGUACCGUUGCUGCCCUGCCCUCAGUGGUGUGAAGUUGUAAGGGGCUGACCAGACCCAGAGGCCUGUGCUUUGAUAGUUUGCUUCUGAUCCCAUCCUCAGUAUUAACUGUCACUUAGUUAAUGUAGCUGCUGAGGAAAACCAGAUAAUCGAGCUGCAAAUUAGGUGCCCUGCAUUUGUACCUAUGAGUCAUUAAGUUUUCAUCUCAGGCUGGGUAGGGGCGAGGGGAGGACUUCCAUUUUCUCCUGUAGUCUAAAGUGCAUAAAUGAGCCACGGCUAUCUUAGACCCUGUUUGGAGGUCUCUUACUCUUCGUUCGUGUUCUUUCUCAUCCUAAGAGUCAAGUUUCUGGAAGGGCGACAUCAGGAGAAGUGGCAGAUUUCUGUGUAAAUAUGUUAACAUUUCAUAGUGAGGUUUGGGGUCAGGGCUGUCCCUGACUUCUCUUUUAAAUUUCUUUAUUUUUUGAACAGUUGUAUUGAUGUAUAAUUCACAUGCCAUACAAUUGACUCUUUUGAAGUAUAUGCAAUUCAGUGGUUUUUAGUAAAAUCUGUGAAUUUAUAGAGUUGUAUGCACCUAUCAUGUAAUCUAAUUUUUGAACAUUUCCAUCACCCUCCAAAAGAAACCUUGUGCCUAUUUGGAAUCACUCUCAUUCCCACCCCCAGACCCAUUCAACCGAUAAUUUACUUCUUACCUCUAUAGAUUUGCCUUUUGUAGACAUUUCAUAUAAAUGGGCUCAUACCGUA